CCCAUCAAUCGCUCAGUAGUCAGUGUAGAUUCUGUGUUUACAAUCAGCAGCUACAUCUGGCUACUGGGUCUCUGAUGACAUCU
rfam:Merops nubicus contig95887, whole genome shotgun sequence.